CCGCUUUGAGCCCAGUUGAGCGCUCCCGGCGGUUUCCAGGGCACCUCCCCACCCCUCCUCUGAUCGCCAAGGCCUGGCCCGUGCGUGUGCUCACACCCCGGGGCGCAGUGCUAGGCUUUACAAAGAAGGCCUGGACCCCCUCCGCGGCUCAACCUCCCAAAUCUGGGGGCCUUCUUGAGCGUUAGGCCCGGCCAGGGAAGCAGGGGCAGCCGCAGGACGGGAGGGGCGAGGCUUCCAGCAGAGGCUGCGGGGUCGAGGCCUGGGCGGCAGAGAUGGGGAGAUAAAGUCAGAUAUCGCUAGAAGUUCUUUGAAAUCAUGAAGAAGUUUCUUCUUAUACAAGAGCAAAGCAAGAAGAAAUGGGAAGGGCGUUGGGAUCCAGAGCGCAGCUGUCAGGUGAGUUCUCGGCUUCACCUCGGAGUUCUCCCGCUCCGCGCCAGGGGAGGCGGCUUAGGAGCAAGUCGGGGGUGGAGAGGCGCCCAGGUAGGCCCGGCCCCUCCCCGCCCUGCCUGUCUUCCCACCUCCGACCCGACUGCUCUCCCAAACCGUGCCCCGCGCAGCCCCUGCAGCCCCCGAGCCCCG
rnacentral:lncRNA from 1 species